rnacentral:hammerhead_ribozyme from 1 species
AUCCAGCUGACGAGUCCCGAAUAGAACGAAAUGAGCGUUGUAGAU